rnacentral:rRNA from 1 species
AUAUUGCACAAUGGGCGCAAGCCUGAUGCAGCCAUGCCGCGUGUAUGAAGAAGGCCUUCGGGUUGUAAAGUACUUUCAGCGGGGAGGAAGGUGUUGAGGUUAAUAACCUCAGCGAUUGACGUUACCCGCAGAAGAAGCACCGGCUAACUCCGUGCCAGCAGCCGCGGUAAUACGGAGGGUGCAAGCGUUAAUCGGAAUUACUGGG